rnacentral:rRNA from 1 species
AGUGAACGCUGGCGGUAGGCCUAACACAUGCAAGUCGAACGGCAGCACAGGAGAGCUUGCUCUCUAGGUGGCGAGUGGCGGACGGGUGAGGAAUACAUCGGAAUCUGCCCAGUCGUGGGGGAUAACGUAGGGAAACUUACGCUAAUACCGCAUACGACCUUCGGGUGAAAGAGGGGGAUCGCAAGACCUCUCGCGAUUGGAUGAGCCGAUGUCGGAUUAGCUCGUUAGCGGGGUAAUGGCCCACCAAGGCGACGAUCCGUAGCUGGUCUGAGAGGAUGAUCAGCCACACUGGAACUGAGACACGGUCCAGACUCCUACGGGAGGCAGCAGUGGGGAAUAUUGGACAAUGGGCGCAAGCCUGAUCCAGCCAUACCGCGUGGGUGAAGAAGGCCUUCGGGUUGUAAAGCCCUUUUGUUGGGAAAGAAAUCUUUCAGGCUAAUACCCUGGGAGGAUGACGGUACCCAAAGAAUAAGCACCGGCUAACUUCGUG